rnacentral:sRNA from 1 species
ACUUGCGGGAGCUUGCUCCCAAAAGUUAGCGGCGGACGGGUGAGUAACACGUGGGCAACCUGCCUAUAAGACUGGGAUAACUUCGGGAAACCGGAGCUAAUACCGGAUAAUUCUUUCCUACACAUGUAGGAAAGCUAAAAGACGGUUUACGCUGUCACUUAUAGAUGGGCCCGCGGCGCAUUAGCUAGUUGGUGAGGUAACGGCUCACCAAGGCAGGCGAUGCGUAGCCGACCUGAGAGGGUGAUCGGCCACACUGGGACUGAUACACGGCCCAGGAUCCUACGGGAGGCAGCUUUCCGAUCUUGCAAUAAACUCGAGCCUCCGGAAGAUCGGCG